UUUCUUCGUUCUUCUUUUGCUCUUCGUCUCUUUCCUUUUCUGGUUGAUUUUGGGAGAUGAAGUAUUAUUCUGAGAUCGAGAUAACAAGAGUCUGAUCAUGAGUCAAGAGAUGGUGGAGAUAUGGUUGCUGUUUGAGUUAGGAGGAAUAAGAAUUGAGAAGCCAGUGAGUUAAGGUUUUCUUUAGUUGGGUUGUUUUCUGAGUUUGUGUAGAACGAGGAUGAUAUCGAGUUGUAACCACUGAAGAUUAAAAGGGUUGUUGGUGAAUUGAUGAGAUGAAGCAGUUUUGGUGAAGAAUCACAAAUCAGGUGAUAAUGAUUUCAGGGACUGGAUGAAUUGUAGCCAUGUUGAAUUGAAAUAGAUGAAGGGAUUGAAUUACAGGUUAAUAGUGUUGUGUACAUAGGUUCAUGUUGAACUGAAUCAGAUUAAGAUGAAGAAAGUGUUUUGAUUAUAAGAGAUAUGACUGUGUUUGGUGGUUAUGUGGUUUAGUAAAGCACUGGAUUUUGGAGAUGGGGUCGAUACUAAUGUGGUUGCUGGUGUAGGACAUGGCAGUUCUGAUGGAGUUAUAGGUAUGAGAUGAGUUUGAGAUUGAAUAUCUCAGGGGGAAGUGUAGUUGGUGGUAUGAUGAAGAACAAGCUGAACUGAGGAAUGAAGGUGUUAGUGCAAUGAGAGUGUGUAAACAAAGAGAAGUGAUUGAAGCUGAAAUUUCAGUAAACAAGGAAGUGUUGGUGCUCAUUGUGCAGGAGUAGAACUGGUGAUGUUAUUGGUGGGUUUGAAAGUAUAAUUGAGGUUGUUGUGUAUUAGUUGGGUGUUGAAACUGAACUUGUAGUGAAUUAAAGAUAUGGGGGAUGUUGAAAUGAUGUUGCAGGUGAUUAUUUGUGGAACUGAUGCUAUUAGUAUAAUCGUUCAAGUAAAGACUAUAGAAAUGCUGAACUGCAGUUUGGGUGUGUUGCAGUUGAAGCUAAUAUGGCAGUGUUGUUAGAAUUCAAGAGAUAUGUAUAAUAUUGCAAGUAUGCAGUGGAUAUGGCAAUGAGUUUCUGCCAUUAACUUUGUAGUGGAGAGUGAUAUAAAUGAUAUUAUAGUUGGAGAUUACAGUUAGAAGGAUUAUAGACUUUACUUGUUUGCCGUUGUGUUUUGAUUAUGCAUUAAAGUGUUUGGCUA